rnacentral:rRNA from 1 species
AUUGAACGCUGGCGGAAUGCUUUACACAUGCAAGUCGAACGGCAGCACGGACUUCGGUCUGGUGGCGAGUGGCGAACGGGUGAGUAAUGUAUCGGAACGUGCCCAGUCGUGGGGGAUAACGUAGUGAAAAUUACGCUAAUACCGCAUACGAUCUAUGGAUGAAAGCGGGGGAUCGCAAGACCUCGCGCGAUUGGAGCGGCCGAUAUCAGAUUAGGUAGUUGGUGGGGUAAAGGCCCACCAAGGCAACGAUCUGUAGCUGGUCUGAGAGGACUACCAGCCACACUGUAACUGAGACACGGACCAUAAUCCUACGGGAGGCAGCAGUGGGGAAUUUUAGACAAUGGGCGAGAGCCUGAGCCAGCCAUUCCGCGUGCAGGAUGAAGUCCCUCGGGUUGUAAACUGCUUUUGUACAGAACGAAAAGGUUUCUACUAAUACUAGGAGCUCAUGACGGUACUGUAAGAAUAAGCACCGGCUAACUACGUGCCAGCAGCCGCGGUAA